GUGCGUGCGUGGGCGAGCGAGCGGGCACCGCAACCUGUUGGUUCCUUACCGUCUCUCCAGCGCUUAGUCUCCGCCUGACCUCCGCGCGGGCAAGAUCUCUAGGCGAGCUCUGUGCGUCCUUUUUUUCCCCUCUCUCAUCCGAUCCCCUUGGGUUUGCCAGAGAAUGUGCUGGGAUCGAAAUUUGCAUAAAAAAGGUAGAUGAGAAUGAUUAACUUUCGAUAAAGGUAAUAAGUUUAGUGCGUAAACAAACUGGAGACACUAAUAAGUUCUGUGAAUGAAAGACUUUAGUGUUCUGAAAAAUAUCUGAAGAGAUUUCGGCGAGAAAGCAAAAAUCAGCUGAUCAGUACAACGCAAGAUAAUCAUCCGCUGAUAUCCUCCAACACCAGCACGUAAGUACAUUUUUCAUUUUACUUUUAUAUUAAUUAUACAUGAUAUAAAGAACAAUGAAAAAAAAAAAAAAGCACAGG